rnacentral:rRNA from 1 species
UACGGGGGGGGCAAGCGUUGUUCGGAAUUACUGGGCGUAAAGGGCUCGUAGGCGGCCAACUAAGUCAGACGUGAAAUCCCUCGGCUUAACCGGGGAACUGCGUCUGAUACUGGAUGGCUUGAGAUUGGGAGAGGGAUGCGGAAUUCCAGGUGUAGCGGUGAAAAUGCGUAGAUAUCUGGAGGAACACCGGUGGCGAAGGCGGCAUCCUGGACCAACACUGACGCUGAGGAGCGAAAAGCCAGGGGGAGCAAACGGGG